UACGUAGGGGGCAAGCGUUGUUCGGAAUUACUGGGCGUAAAGGGCGCGUAGGCGGCACAGCAAGUCGGGAGUGAAAGCCCGGGGCUCAACCCCGGAACUGCUUUCGAAACUGCUGAGCUAGAGUACAGAAGGGGCAACCGGAAUUCCCAGUGUAGCGGUGAAAUGCGUAGAUAUUGGGAAGAACACCUGAGGCGAAGGCGGGUUGCUGGGCUGAUACUGACGCUGAGGCGCGAAAGCGUGGGGAGCGAACAGG
rnacentral:rRNA from 1 species